GGAGAGGUGGCCGAGCGGCUUAAGGUGCGCGCCUGGAGAGCGUGUGUGGGGUGACACCCACCCCGGGUUCGAAUCCCGGCCUCUCCGCCA
rnacentral:tRNA from 1 species